rnacentral:misc_RNA from 1 species
GCUCACCUUAGGCAAAUGCAAUACACAUAAAACAACUUAAAAACAAAAGUAAUAAACAGUUACAACAUCCAAUUCCAUGCAAUAGCCAUGUCGCUUAUUCCAACAUGACAGAGAGAUACAAAUACUCACAAACUAGAAGAACAAAUAGAGGAUGUAAUAGGAUUAUCAGAAGCAAAUCAUGAUGUUUGUAUUUGCACGUUUCAGUUCGUCUUUUGCUAUGUAUCAGCCUUAUCAACCAGAAUACCCUCUGGCCCAUUGCCCACUCCACCAGUGCAAUCUCAAGUGCAAUGAAAGUAGAAGUUGCAAAAUAGAAUGGACGACGAAUGGGAUUAAUGCUCCACAAUGAAAGCUAACAAUUGUUCUAUUCAAAUUUUCAUUUUAGACACCAAACUGUAAACAUUUGUCCCACAUUCUACUGCAACAUUGAACCUAGUAGAAUUUCUCAUAGAUGCCAGAGUUUCCCAUAAAUCUUAGAAGCAAAUUACUUGCCUCUGCCAAACAAUCGUUACAGUAUACAGAUCCAGCAAACAAGAAAAACCAUGCCACUUUUAAUUGAAAUUGCUACCACAAUUUUGAAGUGCAAACUUGGGCCAACAAAUUCAGAGGCAGUCUUUACAUACCUAAGCCCAUCAAUUCUUGCAAUGUCUUCAAGAGUGAAACACUUGUACAUUUAAAGAGACACCCAGUUUAAAACACAAAGUGCCUUUCUAAGAACACAAAUCAAACUUGAAAAACGCACUGAUAUAAUUUGUAUUGUUUAACACAUUUCUGCCAUUUAUCAUCAUCCUAUAAAAUAAUGACUCUUUAACUGUGGAUAUUCAUUCUAAGUUGCAAUAAGAUAAUUAUGACCUUCACACAUUUACAUGAUGCUCUAACCAUUUGAGCUAAUCUAUAUGGUAAAAUAACUACUCUCUUUAUUUAAGUUUAAAUCUUCCCAUAUUCAGGAAAUAAUUAUAUUUCCAAUUAAAUAAAUGUGUGCCUCACCUCAUUCAGCUACACAGUUGCACUUUAAAGGUACACAACACAAGACUCUUACAUUUAAGUGUAACUUGAGGUCUGAAAUGUUAUGCUCAUUCCAGUGCCAGUGAAAUUUUCUCAACCAGAACACACAUCAUUAGCAAACUAUGUCAGUCUAUUCACAAUAAUGCCUCCAAGAAAACAAGCAAAAACAGUAGCUUUACACUACCAUAUAAAAUGUGCGAAGUGAUCUCAUGCUUCAACUCAAAGUAGAACUAAUUUGGAAGUAUAAUACUUUGCAACCAAUAUAAUUUAACUUCAUAUUAGAAUUUAUAUCAGCACAUAAUUCUUGACAAA